rnacentral:rRNA from 1 species
AUACGGAGGGUGCAAGCGUUGUUCGGAAUCACUGGGCGUAAAGGGCGCGCAGGCGGUUUGGUAAGUCAGAUGUGAAAGCCCACGGCUCAACCGUGGAAGUGCAUUUGAAACUGCCAGACUUGAGUACCAGAGGGGAAAGUGGAAUUCCCGGUGUAGAGGUGAAACUCGUAGAUAUCGGGAGGAAUACCGGUGGCGAAGGCGACUUUCUGGCUGGAUACUGACGCUGAGGCGCGAAAGCGUGGGGAGCAAACAGGAUUAGAAACCCUAGUAGUCC